rnacentral:rRNA from 1 species
AUGGUGUACUACACAGUGUAUUUGAAGUUAGGAGUGUUUGGCAUCGACAAGGAUAAUAGUCUGGAGUUCUGUUGGGCCAUUUCAGGUCACCGCAGCCUUGAAUCUCUCACGGUGCAUUCAGCAGAAAGAGAUCUAUAUGACUGCCUGCAAGGCAUAGUAAUCUCACCUCCAGAAAAUCUCCGGAGCCUGAAGCUGCACGGCUGGCUGAGAAAAUUGCCAAAAUGGAUCAUUGUGCUCCGGAAUCUUGUGAAGAUCAAGCUAGAAUACACCGAGGUACAUUUUCCAGAGCGGGCUAUUCACAAGCCUCUUGGUACUCAGAGUUAG